rnacentral:rRNA from 1 species
AACGAACGCUGGCGGCAGGCUUAGCACAUGCAAGUCGAACGCCCCGCAAGGGGAGUGGCAGACGGGUGAGUAACGCGUGGGAAUCUACCCAGAUCUUCGGAACAACUGAGGGAAACUUCAGCUAAUACCGGAUACGCCCUACGGGGGAAAGAUUUAUCGGUUCUGGAUGAGCCCGCGUUGGAUUAGCUAGUUGGUGGGGUAAUGGCCUACCAAGGCGACGAUCCAUAGCUGGUCUGAGAGGAUGAUCAGCCACACUGGGACUGAGACACGGCCCAGACUCCUACGGGAGGCAGCAGUGGGGAAUAUUGGACAAUGGGCGAAAGCCUGAUCCAGCCAUGCCGCGUGAGUGAUGAAGGCCUUAGGGUUGUAAAGCUCUUUCAGUGGGGAAGAUAAUGACGGUACCCACAGAAGAAGCCCCGGCUAACUUCGUGCCAGCCGCCGCCGUAACAC